rnacentral:rRNA from 1 species
GACGAACGCUGGCGGCGUGCCUAAUACUUGCAAGUCGAGCGCAGGAAGCUGACGGAACUCUUCGGAGGGAAGGCAGUGGAAUGAGCGGCGGACGGGUGAGUAACACGUAAGGAACCUGCCUCAAGGAUUGGGAUAACUCCGAGAAAUCGGAGCUAAUACCGGAUAGUUCAACGGACCGCAUGGUCCGCUGAUGAAAGGCGCUUCGGCGUCACCUUGAGAUGGCCUUGCGGUGCAUUAGCUAGUUGGUGGGGUAACGGCCCACCAAGGCGACGAUGCAUAGCCGACCUGAGAGGGUGAUCGGCCACACUGGGGCUGAGACACGGCCCAGACUCCUACGGGAGGCAGCAGUAGGGAAUCUUCCACAAUGGACGAAAGUCUGAUGGAGCAACGCCGCGUGAGUGAUGAAGGUUUUCGGAUCGUAAAACUCUGUUGUAAGGGAAGAACACGUACGAGAGGAAAUGCUCGUACCUUGACGGUACCUUACGAGAAAGCCACGGCUAACUACGUGCCAGCAGCCGCCGUAAGAC